GACGAACGCUGGCGGCGUGCUUAACACAUGCAAGUCGAACGGUGAAGGGGCCUGCUUUUGUGGGCCCUGGAUGAGUGGCGAACGGGUGAGUAACACGUGAGUAACCUGCCCCCUUCUUCUGGAUAACCGCAUGAAAGUGUGGCUAAUACGGGAUAUUCUGGGUCUGUCGCACGAUGGGUCUGGGAAAGAUUGCGCCUUUGGGUGUUUUUGGUGGGGGAUGGGCUCGCGGCCUAUCAGCUUGUUGGUGGGGUGAUGGCCUACCAAGGCGGUGACGGGUAGCCGGCCUGAGAGGGUGGACGGUCACACUGGGACUGAGACACGGCCCAGACUCCUACGGGAGGCAGCAGUGGGGAAUAUUGCACAAUGGGCGCAAGCCUGAUGCAGCGACGCCGCGUGAGGGAGGGAGGCCUUCGGGUUGUAAACCUCUUUCGCCAGUGAAGCAGGCCUGCUCCUUGUGGGUGGGUUGACGGUAGCUGGAUAAGAAGCGCCGGCUAACUACGUG
rnacentral:rRNA from 1 species